rnacentral:rRNA from 1 species
UACGGGGGGGGUAAGCGUUGUUCGGAAUUACUGGGCGUAAAGGGCGCGUAGGCGGCCACCGCAAGUCGACUGUGAAAUCUCCGGGCUUAACCCGGAAAGGUCAGCCGAUACUGCGGGGCUAGAGUGCAGAAGGGGCAACUGGAAUUCUCGGUGUAGCGGUGAAAUGCGUAGAUAUCGAGAGGAACACCUGCGGCGAAGGCGGGUAGCUGGGCCGACACUGACGCUGAUGCGCGAAAGCCAGGGGAGCGAACGGG